CUAUUGUCAUUUUUAUUUUCCCAAGGUGUUCUAUCAUGGUAAAAUCAUCACAUGUUAGAGUUUUAAAUUCUAUUUUAGUUGUGUUUGUGUGUUUAUUUAGGAGAUAAAUCGGGGAACUUUUGAUAGUCAAUAAAAGGUCUUGAAAGUUUUGUGAUUUUGUUGUUAUAGCAUAUUCCUACUGUAAAAUUUUUUAGACUAUAUGUUAUGUUUGUUUUGAAGUAUGAUCACUGAGGAUCUUGUUA
rnacentral:lncRNA from 1 species